AAAACUCUUGACCCAAUCUGCGACCACUAUCAGUGGUUGGUUAAUUAUCAAGCAGGCGAUACCGUACGAGCGUAAAAACAAAAGUGUUCAACACCAAAGUGCUACAGAAGUAAUUUUGUGAAAUUUCAUCAUUAAUUGCGCCUGACCAACGACGCAGCACAAAGGCUGAUUUCUGGGAUCUAGUGACGCGUUAACCCAAGAAGCGCAGUUGCGAGCAGAGCGAGGUCAAGUGAGGCUAGGCUGCGGCCGGAGCCGUACACCACACAGCCCGUCUACGUCUACAAAAUGGCUGGGCCGCGUGUGAGGAUGCUGUAAACCCUGAUCGGGUAAAGAGAUCGGCCCUUCUUCUUUCUUCUUGUAUUAUUCCCACCAUACAAUGGUCCUGCACAAACAAACUUCUGAUGGACGUCGCCGGAACGGAUGUCCGCCGAACUGGAGACGCCGGUUGGCACGCGAGCGCCCUCGAGGCCGAUCGAAGGCCGGGCUGACGCGGUUGCCAGGCUGCCGUGGACGCUGGGAUGCCGAGGAUUCCCGGCUGCCGUUGAAGCUGGGUUGCCAUGGGUGCCGGAAGUGGCACAAAGGCGGCGCACACCUUCGUGGGAUACACUUUCACACUACUCUGACACUCACACACCUUAGAUUUAACCAUGAAUCCUUAGAUUUAGUUUUGGCCGGCGCAUUCGCCUUCUUUUUUUGGCCGGUUUUUGGCAUAUUGCCCCAUUUUCACGAUGAUCAUCCAAAAAGUUGAAUAUAUUUGAUUACAAAAGCGCUGAAUUUUUCCUAUUUCUUAAAUAAAAUUGCCGCAAGGCGGCGUGAUGAGUUCUAA